rnacentral:rRNA from 1 species
UCCGUAGGUGAACCUGCGGAAGGAUCAUUAUCGAUGGCCGCGCCGUGAGCGCCCUGGUGCAGGAUCGGCCGGCCACUGACCACACCCUUACUUUACGAGCACCUUUCGUUCUCCUUCGGCGGGGCAACCCGCCGCUGGAACCUCAUCAAACCCUUUUUUGCAUCUAGCAUUACCUGUUCUGAUAAAAAACAAUCGUAACAACUUUCAACAAUGGAUCUCUUGGCUCUGGCAUCGAUGAAGAACGCAGCGAAAUGCGAUAAGUAGUGUGAAUUGCAGAAUUCAGUGAAUCAUCGAAUCUUUGAACGCACAUUGCGCCCCUUGGUAUUCCAUGGGGCAUGCCUGUUCGAGCGUCAUCUACACCCUCAAGCUCUGCUUGGUGUUGGGCGUCUGUCCCGCCUCUGCGCGCGGACUCGCCCCAAAGGCAUUGGCAGCGGUCCACGGCCCCUCUCGCGCAGCACAUUGCGCUUCUCGAGGCGGCCCGGCCCGCAUCCACGAAGCCCACAUUACCGUCUUUGACCUCGGAUCAGGUAGGGAUACCCGCUGAACUUAAGCAUAUCAAUAAGCGGAGGA